GGUCUUUAGUUUUUAAUUUAAGAUCAGGCCUGCCCAUUGAUUUGAAAGAUUAAAAGGCUGCGGUAUUUUAACUGUACGAAGGUAGCAUAAUCAUUUGUCUUUUAAUUGGAGGCUAGAAUGAAUGGUUUGAUGAGAAAUAGACUUUCUUUUUUUAAUUUAUAUUAAUUUAAUUUUUUAGUUAAAAAGCUAAAAUUUUUUUAUAGGACGAGAAGACCCUAUAGAAGUUUACUAUAUUAAUAAUUCUUUAUUUUUUGUUGUUAAAAUAUUUUUUUAAAUUAUAUAGUUUUGUUGGGGUGACAUUAAAAUUUAUUAAACUUUUAAUUAUUUUUUCAUUAAUUUAUGUUUUUUUUGAUCCAAUAUUUAUUGAUUAUAAGUUUAACUUACCUUAGGGAUAACAGCGUAAUUUUUUCGGAGAGUUCAUAUCGAUGAAUAAAGUUUGCGA
rnacentral:rRNA from 1 species